ensembl:lncRNA
CACAAAUAUCCGACGAGGCAAAAUCGUAGACGUCGUGACUUCUGAGAUGUCGCAUAUGUUUAUUUAAUUAAAUUGCUUAGAUUCAGCACUUCGUUUUCAGAUGUGGGUAAAGCUGCUGUGUGUGCCGCCACAACAAAUCGUGCUUUUCAUCAGUGUUUUUAAAGAACCUUUCAGCACUUUGACCGUCUGUUUACCGUGGCUGCGGCAUAGCUGGUGGCAUGGGAGGAAUGAUGCUUUUUCAAGUGCUUGUUCCACUGCUAUUGGUUGCCACAGCAUCAUCUUCAGAAGAUAAAGUGUUUGUCCUGAAAGGAGGGUCCAUCGUGUUGCAGGCGGAGCAAGUGACUAGGGUUUCCUCUAUCAUCUGGAAACACAACAAGGAGAAAGCUGCAGAAUGGUUUGAGGGCGAUGAUGCGCCAACCUAUUAUAACAUAUUUCAAUAUGU